rnacentral:rRNA from 1 species
AUCUUCGCGAAACCAAAGCCGGGGCAACGGCGCUUCUUGAUGAUCCCGCGGCCUAUCAGCUAGUUGGCGGGGUAAAAGCCCACCAACUAUGACGGGUAGCUGGUCUGAGAGGACGACCAGCCACACUGGAACUGAGACACGGUCGACACCUACGGGUGGCAGCAGUCGAGAAUUUUUCUCAAUGGGGGAAACCCUGAAGGAGACGCCGCGUGGAGGAUGAAGGUCUUCGGAUUGUAAACUCCUGUCAUUAGGGAACAAAUUCCGGUUAACUGCCGGAAGUCUGAUAGUACCUGAAGAGGAAGAGACGGCUAACUCUGUCAGCAGCCGCGGUAAUACAGAGGUCUCAACCGUUGUUCGGAUUCAUUGGGCGUAAAGGGCGUAGGCGGCGGAGUAAGUCAGGUGUGAAAUCUCGGGGCUCAACCCCGAAACUGCACGAUACUGCUUCGCUCGAGUAUUGGAGAGGAGAUUGGAAUUUACGGUGUAGCAGUGAAACGUAGAUAUCGUAAGGAAGACCAGUGGCGAAGGCGAAUCUCUGGACAAUUACUGACGCAGGCACGAAGGCCAGGGGAGCAAACGGGAUUAGAUACCCCGGUAGUCCUGGCAGUAAAGUGCACGUUUGGUGUGGGAGGAUUCGACCCCUUCCGUGCCGGAGCUAACGCGUAAACG